UACGUAGGGGGCAAGCGUUGUCCGGAAUCAUUGGGCGUAAAGCGCGCGUAGGCAGCCCGGUAAGUCCGCUGUGAAAGUCCAGGGCUCAACCCUGGAAAGCCGGUGGAUACUGCCGGGCUAGAGUCCGGAAGAGGCGAGUGGAAUUCCUGGUGUAGCGGUGGAAUGCGCAGAUAUCAGGAGGAACACCAAUAGCGAAGGCAGCUCGCUGGGACGGUACUGACGCUGAGGUGCGAAAGCGUGGGGAGCAAACAGG
rnacentral:rRNA from 1 species